rnacentral:rRNA from 1 species
UACAGAGGGUGCGAGCGUUAAUCGGAAUUACUGGGCGUAAAGCGCGCGUAGGCGGCUUAACAAGUCAGGGGUGAAAUCCUGGAGCUCAACUCCAGAAUUGCCUUUGAAACUGUUAGCUUGAGUGUCGGAGGGGAUAGCGGAAUUGCUAAUGUAGAGGUGAAAUUCGUAGAUAUUAGCAGGAACACCGGUGGCGAAGGCGGCUAUCUGGACGACAACUGACGCUGAGGCGCGAAAGCGUGGGGAGCAAACAGG